rnacentral:rRNA from 1 species
UACGUAGGGAGCAAGCGUUGUCCGGAAUCAUUGGGCGUAAAGCGCGCGUAGGCGGCCUCGUAAGUCCGUUGUGAAAGUCAAAGGCUCAACCUUUGAAAGCCGAUGGAUACUGUGAGGCUAGAGUCCGGAAGAGGCGAGUGGAAUUCCUGGUGUAGCGGUGGAAUGCGCAGAUAUCAGGAGGAACACCAAUAGCGAAGGCAGCUCCGCUGGGACGGUACUGACGCUAAGGCGCGAAAGCGUGGGGAGCGAACGAGGA